UUUAUUGGAGAGUUUGAUCCUGGCUCAGGAUGAACGCUGGCGGCGUGCCUAAUACAUGCAAGUCGAGCGAAUGGAUUAAGAGCUUGCUCUUAUGAAGUUAGCGGCGGACGGGUGAGUAACACGUGGGUAACCUGCCCAUAAGACUGGGAUAACUCCGGGAAACCGGGGCUAAUACCGGAUAACAUUUUGAACCGCAUGGUUCGAAAUUGAAAGGCGGCUUCGGCUGUCACUUAUGGAUGGACCCGCGUCGCAU
rnacentral:rRNA from 1 species